rnacentral:piRNA from 1 species
UUAUCUGGGAGGACAGGGUUGCACCU